rnacentral:rRNA from 1 species
CGUAAUGAUUAAUAGGGACAGUCGGGGGCAUCAGUAUUCAAUUGUCAGAGGUGAAAUUCUUGGAUCUAUUGAAGACUAACUACUGCGAAAGCAUUUGCCAAGGAUGUUUUCAUUGAUAAGGAACGAAAGUUAGGGGAUCGAAGACGAUCAGAUACCGUCGUAGUCUUAACUAUAAACUAUGCCGACUAGGGAUCGGACGAUGUUAUUCUUUGACGCGUUCGGCACCUUUCGAGAAAUCAAAGUGCUUGGGCUCCAGGGGGAGUAUGGUCGCAAGGCUGAAACUUAAAGAAAUUGACGGAAGGGCACCACCAGGGGUGGAACCUGCGGCUUAAUUUGACUCAACACGGGGAAACUCACCAGGUCCAGACACAGUGAGGAUUGACAGAUUGAGAGCUCUUUCUUGAUUCUGUGGGUGGUGGUGCAUGGCCGUUCUUAGUUGGUGGAGUGAUUUGU